rnacentral:rRNA from 1 species
ACGCCCGCUCAAGAAACUACAAAGGAAUUGACGGGGGCCCGCACAAGCGGUGGAGUAUGUGGUUUAAUUCGAUGCAACGCGAAGAACCUUACCAGGCCUUGACAUGCAGAGAACUUUCCAGAGAUGGAUUGGUGCCUUCGGGAACUCUGAGACAGGUGCUGCAUGGCUGUCGUCAGCUCGUGUCGUGAGAUGUUGGGUUAAGUCCCGCAACGAGCGCAACCCUUGCCUUUAGUUGCCAGCAGUUCGGCUGGGCACUCUAAAGGGACUGCCGGUGUUAAACCGGAGGAAGGUGGGGAUGACGUCAAGUCCUCAUGGCCUUUAUGACCAGGGCUACACACGUACUACAAUGGCCGAUACAAAGGGCAGCGACACUGCGAGGUGAAGCCAAUCCCGUAAAAUCGGUCUCAGUCCGGAUUGGAGUCUGCAACUUGACUCCAUGAAGUUGGAAUCGCUAGUAAUCGUGGAUCAGCAUGCCACGGUGAAUACGUUCCCGGGCCUU